GACGAACGCUGGCGGCGUGCCUAACACAUGCAAGUCGAACGAGGUCCAUCCUUCGGGAGAAGACCUAGUGGCGAACGGGUGAGUAACACGUGAAGAACCUGCCCCGAAGACCGGAUAACCUCCGAAAGGAGAGCUAAUACCGGAUACCCCCACCGAACCGCAUGGUUUGGUCGAAGGAAAUGGAUUCCGCUUCGGGAGGGCUUCGCGGCCUAUCAGCUAGUUGGUGGGUAACGGCCACAAGGCAUCGACGGGUAGCUGGUCUGAGAGGACGAUCAGCCACACUGGGACUGAGACACGGCCCAGACUCCUACGGGAGGCAGCAGUGGGGAAUCUUGCGCAAUGGGCGAAAGCCUGACGCAGCAACGCCGCGUGGGGAUGAAGGCUCUCGGG
rnacentral:rRNA from 1 species